UACACGCAUGACACACUGCAUAUCAAUAAGCGGAGGAAAAGAAACUAACAAGGAUUCCCCUAGUAACGGCGAGUGAAGCGGGAAGAGCUCAAAUUUGAAAUCUUAAAAGGCUUCCCUUUACGAAUUGUAGUUUAAAGAAGUGUUUUCUGUUGGAGUUUCGGUAAAAGUUCUUUGGAAUAGGACAUCAUAGAGGGUGAGAAUCCCGUAUUUGACCGUUACUUUCCAGCUGUGUGAUACACUUUCAAAGAGUCGGAUUGUUUGGGAAUGCAGUCCAAAAUGGGUGGUAAAUUUCAUCUAAAGCUAAAUAUUGGCGAGAGACCGAUAGCGAACAAGUACCGUGAGGGAAAGAUGAAAAGAACUUUGAAAAGAGAGUUAAACAGUACGUGAAAUUGUCAAAAGGGAAGCGUUUGACACCAGUGUUGUUUUUCCGAAAAUCAAUUAAGAAUGGCCGGAUUUUAAGUUUCAUGACCUUAAAAGCUUGUUUCUUAUUUUUCUUGUCUUUCUUAAUAGCACUUUUCGGUUAACAAGUCAACAUCAAUUUCUUUUGUUGUAAAAGGUUAAGAGGAAGGUGGCUUUACUUUCGGGUAAAGUGUUUAUAGCCUUUUAACUCUGCAAUCGGAGAGAUUGAGGUCUGCAGCGUAGAUCCUUCGGGGCUAGAUACGUUUGUGCUAAGUUAUAGCUUUUCAUAGACAACUUGUUGACUAUGUUUAGUCUUGUAGCUUACUCGCAUGCGCUAUUUUACCUACGCUUAGGAUGUUGAACUACUGAGACAUAGA
rnacentral:rRNA from 1 species